GCCGGGGUGGCUUAGCCUGGCUAAAGCGCCGGACUCAUAAUCCGGAGAUCGCGGGUUCGAGUCCCGCCCCCGGCA
rnacentral:tRNA from 1 species